GGCCCGCGGCCUAUCAGGUAGUUGGUGAGGUAACGGCUCACCAAGCCGACGACGGGUAGGGGGCGUGAGAGCGUGGCCCCCCACACGGGAACUGAGACACGGUCCCGACGCCUACGGGCGGCAGCAGUGAGGAAUCUUGCCCAAUGGGGGAAACCCUGAGGCAGCGACACCGCGUGCGGGAUGAAGGCCUUCGGGUCGUAAACCGCUUUUCUGGGGGACGAGUAAGGACGGUACUCCAGGAAUAAGUCCCGGCUAACUACGUGCCAGCAGCCGCGGUAAAACGUAGGGGGCGAGCGUUAUCCGGAAUCACUGGGCGUAAAGGGCGUCUAGGCGGCAGCCUAAGUCCCGUGUGAAAGCUCCCGGCUCAACUGGGAGAGGGCAUGGGAGACUGGGCAGCUAGAGACUCGGAGGGGGGUGUGGAAUUCCCGGUGGAGUGGUGGAAUGCGUUGAGAUCGGGAGGAACACCAGUAGCGAAGGCGGCACCCUGGCCGAGAUCUGACGCUGAAGCGCGAGAGCGUGGGGAGCGAACGGGAUUAGAUACCCCGGUAGUCCACGCCGUAAACGAUGACAACUAGGUGUUGGGUGUCCAAGGAUGCUCAGUACCGCAGCAAACGCGAUAA
rnacentral:rRNA from 1 species